CAUCGAACUGAUGCCGACUAUAAUCGUGUAAAUACGAAUGGAGAACGAAGUGUAUUGGAUAGAUCAGCGUAGUUACUGAUGUGUGGCAAACAAUAUUCAUGCGAGCCUGUGAGCUAGUAAUGACAUGAAUAUUGUUGGCAUUAGUGGUUAACGUUAAAUGUGGCACAUAAACAUCUGAAAUGACUUCAUUUUUGCUCGUCUCGUUGGUCGAGUUGGAUAGGCGCUGGAUUUAUAAACCAGAGGUUGCUAGUUCAAGCCCAGCUGUAGACAACAUGAGCAAAAAUGCUUUCACUUCAGAUUUUGAUGUCUAGUAUGCUUCACUUAAUAAAAAUUAAAAUUUGUUGGUUUCACACCAGAGUUCAUAGGAACUCAUAAUUCUCGUAGACAGAAAUUAAAU